CAGAUUGUCUCAGAUUUUUCUUUUUCUCUUUUGUCCUCAGGGUCCUUUUCAAAACAUCAGAUCAGUAUUCAAAGGCUUAGUGCAAACAAGGUGAUUCUGGUACCCAAUACAAUUUGAGAUCACUGCUGUAAAUGAAAACCUGGUUCAGCAGCAGAUCCCGGCCUUGGCAGAGCCACCCUAAUGCCACCACUCACUGCUGAUGAUGGACACUGGAACAGCCCUCCUGUGGGCGAGAGGACAUCGGUGUGUAACCACAUGGGGCUGACCCAGUCUACAUUCCUACCAGCAAUGUUGGAGCUCCCCUUUGUCUUCAGCACUUGUUGUUUCUGGUCUUCUUUAUAUGGACCAUUCCCACAGAUGUUGCAUUUUUCACAAAAGGCUCCACCAGCAAGAAGAUGAUGACUUGCUGAAGGCUCAGAUGAUGGAGAAAGAGGGACCUGCAAGCCAAAGAAAGAGAAAUUCACUGAAGCAUUAAUCUGAGAUACUGACAUUCUAAUGAAGACGAACGGUCCUGUUUAGUUGUUCAAUAAAUGCAAUUUUGUUUACUGCUGAAGACUGAUGCACACAGAAGGUAUCAGAAAUUAAGCCCUUGGGGAGGUGACUUAGACAGAAACAUGGGGUGUGCAUUGUAACACUGUGAGAACACAUCCUGCUGUUAUCUCCUGGAGAAGGGACUCAUCUCUGUCACGCCAUGACUGACGUGCUCACCCUAUGGGCUUCCUGAACAGCAGGAAAGGUGCCUGCACCUGAAUUGCUUGGUUCACAAAUUCCCCCAGUGGCACCACUACAACUUUCAUUCCUCGUGCUUUGCAUGUCUUUCAGUAAGCAAUAAAUUCCUGUGUAAUCAUGCCUGGACCUGCGGCUCCCUGUGCUCAGCUAAAAUCACAG